UACGAAGGGGGCUAGCGUUGCUCGGAAUCACUGGGCGUAAAGCGCACGUAGGCGGAUCUUUAAGUCAGGGGUGAAAUCCUGGAGCUCAACUCCAGAACUGCCUUUGAUACUGGGGAUCUCGAGUCCGGGAGAGGUGAGUGGAACUCCGAGUGUAGAGGUGAAAUUCGUAGAUAUUCGGAAGAACACCAGUGGCGAAGGCGGCUCACUGGCCCGGUACUGACGCUGAGGUGCGAAAAGCGUGGGGAGCAAACAGG
rnacentral:rRNA from 1 species